rnacentral:rRNA from 1 species
GUGAACGCUGGCGGUAGGCCUAACACAUGCAAGUCGAACGGCAGCACAGUAAGAGCUUGCUCUUACGGGUGGCGAGUGGCGGACGGGUGAGGAAUACAUCGGAAUCUACUUUUUCGUGGGGGAUAACGUAGGGAAACUUACGCUAAUACCGCAUACGACCUACGGGUGAAAGCAGGGGAUCUUCGGACCUUGCGCGAUUGAAUGAGCCGAUGUCGGAUUAGCUAGUUGGCGGGGUAAAGGCCCACCAAGGCGACGAUCCGUAGCUGGUCUGAGAGGAUGAUCAGCCACACUGGAACUGAGACACGGUCCAGACUCCUACGGGAGGCAGCAGUGGGGAAUAUUGGACAAAGGGCGCAAGCCUGAUCCAGCCAUACCGCGUGGGUGAAGAAGGCCUUCGGGUUGUAAAGCCCUUUUGUUGGGAAAGAAGAGCAGCAGGUUAAUACCCCGCUGUUCUGACGGUACCCAAAGAAUAAGCACCGGCUAACUUCGUG